GCCGGCGUAGCUCAACGGUAGAGCAACUCUCUUGUAAAGAGUAGGUUGUCGGUUCAAAUCCGUCCGCCGGCU
rnacentral:tRNA from 1 species